UUUUUCAAAAUUAGAGAAUUUGUUUUUUAUUUGGAUGAUAUUAAACUAUUACAAGUCAUUUUGUGGGUUUGGUCAUUGACUUCUUGUUUUGAACUAAAUCAUCUUUUUAUACAAUUCCCAUCUUUUAUCUCAAUUGAGCUUUCGUUCUCAUAAUUCUACAAGAGUUUUGAUUCACCUACGAUUCGUAUUUUUAAAUAGGCAUUGCAAUUUGUUCCGGAGUCUUUUAUCUAACUUAAAUCUGGUUUGUGUAUGAAAUUAAUUCGUGAAUAAUUCAUAAUUAGAAAGGCCGAUUGUUCCGAUCUUCGACCGUUUGUGUUGGUGCCAUUCAUAUCGGAUUAUGAACGGUUCAAGCGUGCAACGAGUUCUCUCGCCUGUUGUUGUGGUUCUGUUACCUUGCGACCUUGACGCAUUUUUACUGCAUCAACCUUGAUGGCGCUUUAAUGACGCGAUGGUGUGUUGCACAUACACGCAUGCACUGCGUUCCAAUAUCGCCGGUUAAAAAUGCACGACGCGCUGUUUUUAAAGCCAACGCUUGAUUGCACUACUGUGUAAUGCGAUAUGAUAACAGGAAGCAUUGCAAGAAGCCUCAUAAUGUUAUUGUUUCCCCGGCAUUUCGGUCGUUUCCUUGUGAGUUCGAUAUCAUCAACGUGACGCGCGGUGCAAUAACAAUGAAAAUGUCGCAAGCUCACGCUUUGCAAUAAAAUAAAAUAAAGACUUGUAGAAAAUCCUAGAAACAUACGCAACUGGUACAUAGUUAUGUUAUGACAGUGCAAUGUCGCACAAAGCGAUGUCUUUGUUUGCCAUUGCAACGAAAUAACAAUGAGUUAAAAGUCGAGCACGCUUUACUUCGACAUCGGGCCGCGUGUCAUGUCGUGCCGUUCCAUCGAUGAAGAAAGAAGGAAAGCAAUCGUGACUUCGCGAGACUGGACGUCGCAAGCGCGGGUUUACACACCGCCGACAUGUGGGCAAAAACACAAAAACAAAGACGCCAUCAAGCCAAUAUGCUCGGCUCGGCAGCAAAAUACGAUAAUGGUGUAACGGUAACGAACGAAACUGUAAACAGGGAAGAAUCGAAGAGAGACAACCAUCGAGCUGCUCCGCGGGCCGAUGGAAAAAGCGACCAGUUUGAAGUUCAACUCGUUCGGUCUCGCGAUCGCCGAUGGGACGUGUUUCUGAACGCAAUAACCUAGAUUUAAUUAAUUCAAAGCUCGCUAAUUGCCGCGAGUAUCAUCAGGCAAAUGUACUAAUAAACACGUUCGGCCUACAUUUACUUUUAAUUUUAAACUGAUUCAAUUUACGAAAACAAUUUGUCACUCCGAAGUGUCUAGUCGUGCAUAUUUUUGUCUCCCAUUGAAACGAAUGAAUAUUAUUUAUUGACGAAAAAGAUUCUCG